UCCCUCGUAAUCUAGAGGUUAGGAUACCUGACUCUCACCUAGGAUGUCCGAGUUCGAUUCCCGGCGUGGGAA